AUCGCUUCUCGGCCUUUUGGCUAAGAUCAAGUGUAGUAUCUGUUCUUAGCAGUUUAAUAUCUGAUACAUCCUCUAUCCGAGGACAAAAACUGAGCAGAAUUUAUCAUCAAAUAUUAUCAAGGGGCUGGCAUUGUGGUGUAGUGAGUUAAGUCACAGCCUGCAAUGCUGGCAAUGCUGGCAUCCCAUA